UAUAACGUAAAAACGUUAACGCCGCGUUUUGUGCUACUAAACUGCGAGAGGAGUAUUACUACUUCAGGAGUACUGGGUAUUGUUUCGAGUCAAAACAAGGGGAUAAAAAAAGCGCCCGCAGGCGCUUUUUAGA
rnacentral:sRNA from 1 species